rnacentral:rRNA from 1 species
CCCCAGACUCCUACGGGAGGCAGCAGUGGGGGAUAUUGCACAAUGGGGGGAACCCUGAUGCAGCGACGCCGCGUGGGUGAAGGAGUAUUUCGGUAUGUAAAGCCCUAUCGGCAGGGAAGAAGCAAGACGGUACCUGACUAAGAAGCCCCGACUAACUACGUGCCAGCAGCCGCGGGAAUACGUAGGGGGCAAGCGUUAUCCGGAUUUACUGGGUGUAAAGGGGGCGCAGGCGGCAGCGCAAGCCAGGAGUGAAAGCCCGGGGCCCAACCCCGGGACUGCUCUUGGAACUGCGCGGCUGGAGUGCAGGAGGGGCAGGCGGAAUUCCUGGUGUAGCGGUGAAAUGCGUAGAUAUCAGGAGGAACACCGGUGGCGAAGGCGGCCUGCUGGGCUGCGACUGACGUUGAGGCCCGAAAGCGUGGGGAGCAAACAGGAUUAGAUACCCCAGUA